rnacentral:rRNA from 1 species
UACGUAGGGUGCAAGCGUUUGUCCGGAAUUAUUGGGCGUAAAGAGCUCGUAGGCGGUUUGUCGCGUCUGCUGUGAAAACUCAGGGCUUAACCCUGAGCCUGCAGUGGGUACGGGCAGACUAGAGUGUGGUAGGGGAGAUCGGAAUUCCUGGUGUAGCGGUGGAAUGCGCAGAUAUCAGGAGGAACACCCGUGGCGAAGGCGGCCAUCUGGACCAGCACUGACGCUGAGGCACGAAAGCGUGGGGAGCAAACAGG